CCUACGGGAGGCAGCAGUGGGGAAUAUUGCACAAUGGGGGAAACCCUGAUGCAGCGACGCCGCGUGAGUGAAGAAGUAAUUCGUUAUGUAAAGCUCUAUCAGCAGGGAAGAAAAUGACGGUACCUGAGUAAGAAGCCCCGGCUAACUACGUGCCAGCAGCCGCGGGAAUACGUAGGGGGCAAGCGUUAUCCGGAUUUACUGGGUGUAAAGGGAGCGUAGACGGCAGUGCAAGUCUGGAGUGAAAGGCGGGGGCUCAACCCCCGGACUGCUCUGGAAACUGUACGGCUGGAGUGCAGGAGAGGUAAGUGGAAUUCCUAGUGUAGCGGUGAAAUGCGGAGAGAUUAGGAGGAACACCAGUGGCGAAGGCGGCUUACUGGACUGUAACUGACGUUGAGGCUCGAAAGCGUGGGGAGCAAACAGGAUUAGAUACCCCUGUAGUC
rnacentral:rRNA from 1 species